UCAAGCUUAGCUGGUGUAAUUGCAUCACUUUUCAUUCUUGCUGGAGCAUUUUUUGGCAAGUCAUCUGGCUCUUCAAAUGAACUCUAUGGGUGGAUUGCAGUUUUGGGGUUAGCCCUGUAUAUUGCUUGCUUCUCACCAGGGAUGGGACCUGUUCCAUGGACUGUGAACUCAGAGAUAUAUCCCGAACAAUAUCGAGGAAUAUGCGGGGGCAUGUCAGCUACUGUUAACUGGAUCUCCAAUCUGAUAGUAGCCCAAACUUUCCUUUCAAUUGCCGAAGCAGUAGGAACAGGUUCGACUUUCUUGAUGCUUGCGGGCAUAGCAGUGCUCGCAGUUGUGUUUGUGAUUAUGUAUGUCCCAGAGACCAUGGGGCUGGCAUUUGUUGAAGUUGAGCAGAUAUGGAAGGAGAGGGCAUGGGGCAGUAGUUACAACACAGAAAGCCUUCUUGAGCAAGGAAACGACAAAUGAGUAGUAGGUGCCGUGCGCACUUGCUGAGCUUGAUAAUAUCAGCGCCAAAUUGUAGGUUUAUAAAACAAUCUGUAUGUACUGGAGCUAUAACUAAAUCUGCUCUGCCUGUAAAAUCUUGUGCAUGAAGAUGCUUUGAAUCCAACCCCACUGCAUGAGCAGAAGCCCCCCACUUUCAUGUAAAAUUACAUCAUGUAAAAAAAUAUUUUGAAAAGUAAUUGUUAGGAAACUUCCAACUACUCUGAAAAGCAUGGAGUAACAGGCUUUAGUUUUACCAUGGAAAUGAUGAAAUUGACAGCACACUUGUUUUUACUAGCAUUAACCUUACACAUUACGGACCUAAUUUUCUUUUAAAAAAUAAAUUGUAGGAAAGAGAAUUUUAGAAAAAUAAAAUAUUUUUUGAUUUUUUAUAGUGUAAUGAAAAAUAAGUUAGAAAAUACUUUUUGAUGUUUAGUUAUGUCAUGGAAAAUAAAUUAGAAAAUAACUUAUUAAUAAUUUAUUUUUCUCAAGUUUACUAAAAUAACAAUGAAUAAAUUUUAUAAAAUCUUACAAAUUAAAAAGUUGAAUGAGAAUGAAAUUAAAAAAAAUAUAAUUUUAUAAAUUAUCUCAAAUAAAAUAAAUAAUAAUCAAAAUAAUAGAGAUCAAAUCUAAAAAAUAAAAAAAAUAAAAGAUGAAGAAUUUAAAAUAAUAAUAAUUAACAUUUCAUAAAUUAUUUCAAAUAAAAUAAGUAUCAAUCAAAAGAAUGAGGAUCAAAUUUAAUAUAUAAAAAAUUUCAAUAAAAAAAUAAUAAGAGAAAAACAAAUAACAAUUAUAAAAAUAAGGACCUAAGUUAAUAUAAAAAUUAAAUUUUAAGAGAUGAAAUUAAAAAAUAAAUAUUCAAAACAAAAUAUAUAUAGCAAUAAGAGUUUGAAGAUCAAAUUUGAUAUAAUCAGCAACUAAUAUGAUAUUUCUAAAUUUUUCACAACUUUCAAAAAGUGUUUUUCGCCUAAAUUUUUCAGGAAAAUACUUUGCUGGAAACCAAACCAAAUUUUUCUUUGAUUGAAAAAUAUUUUCCGUUAACCAACUUUUCUAAUCACAAAAAAAUAUAGAAAAAUUUGAAAAAUAAUUUGUUAAAAAAUAAAUUUCAAAAAACAUUUGAUUACAGAUAUUGGAUCGAUAUUGUCAUCAAUCAAACCAUAAAGACAAGAAAAAUGACUGGUAGUUGAAGUUUAGGGUAGAAGCCAUCUGCCUUCCCUUGCAAUUGCAUACGUAAGCCAAUACAUAUGAAAAUUGUCGUAUUUAAAAAAGAUUGAAUUGAAUUGAAUUUAUUUUUUAUAUUUUUUAUAUUAUUUUUAUUUUAUUUCUUUAAAUAUCUCUAAAAAAUAAUAAAUAGAUGUUUUGAGAAGGUUAGUUUUAAAUUUAAAUUUUUUAUUUUAGAAUUUAAAUCAAAAGAGUUGGCAUCUGUUUAUUUUUUUUAUCAUUUUUAAAAAUUAAAUUCUAUUUAGAAUUUAAUUAUUGAUACUUAAAAUUAUUCAAAACAUGAAAUUUUAUUAAAAUUUUUAAAUUAAAUUAAAUUUAAAAGUUUUCAAACAUCUUUAUAACGAAAAUUGUACUCCUUUCUCUCACGUAAGUGAAAUUCAUAAAAAACAAAUAUCUAGGAAAUACAACAUUAUGAUCAUCACAUCAGCAGUGUUCUUUCGGACCACACAAUUCGGACGCAAAAGGCAUACAUAUAUGCAGGCAGGAGUACUCCUACACGAGAACGAAAAGCACAAAGACUGGUUUUGUUAAUUAGAGAAAUGGAGAAGCAAGAAAGAAUCUGUCAUGUAGUGGUCAUACCUUAUCCUGUUCAAGGUCACAUUAACCCCAUGAUCCAGUUCUCCAAGCGCCUAGCCUCCAAAGGACUCCAAGUAACACUGGUCAUCUUCUCAAGCCAGACGCUCUCGACGCCUGCAUCGCUUGGCUCAGUCAAAGUGGUGACCAUUUCUGAUGGUUAUGAUGCAGGCAGCAGUUCCAUAGCUGACCUUCUAACAAUUCCAAGAUACAGUGACACAAAAACUGCCACAACUCGUUGUAGAACUAGGUAUCUCUUCUGGGCAUCCAGUAAGUUGCCUAGUGUAUGACUCAUUCAUGCCUUGGGUUCUAGAGAUAGCUAGACAGCUUGGCCUCAUUGGGGCUUCCUUCUUCACACAGUCAUGUGCUGUUAACUCUGUCUACUACCAAAUCCAUGAGGGGCAGCUAAAGAUUCCACUAGAGAAGUUUCCUGUAUCAGUUCAAGGGCUGCCACCUCUAGACGUUGAUGAACUGCCAUCAUUCGUGCACGACAUGGAAUCAGAAUACUCAUCUAUACUUACCGUAGUAGUCAAUCAGUUUUCGAAUUUCAGGGGAGCUGAUUGGAUCUUUGUGAACAGUUUCAACACCCUGGAGGAGGAGGUACCCCUGAAGAAGUUACAUAAAGAAAAGUAGCAGUACCUCGAGUUCCCAUGAAUUCUUUUUUAUCUGCUCGUACUAAUAGAUAUUACCAUAUUUGCAAAGUAUGCUGCCUUCAAUUCUAUGGCACUCAAGAUUUUGCUUAUUUGUAUCAGGUGGUAAACUGCCUGGCAAGCCAGAGGUCAAUCAAGCCAAUAGGACCCAUGAUUCCAUCAGUUUACUUGGACAGGCAGCUAGAGGAUGACACUGAGUAUGGCCUCAGCCUCUUCAAACCUGCUGUCGACGGUUGCAUGGAAUGGCUAGAUUCGAAGGAAACUGGCUCCGUGGUUUACGUGUCAUUUGGAAGCUUGGCUGCUCUGGGAGAAGAGCAAAUGGCAGAAAUAGCUUGGGGCCUAAGGAGGAGCGACUGCUACUUCUUGUGGGUAGUCAGAGAAUCGGAAGAGAAAAAACUUCCAUGCAACUUUGUGGAGGGGUCCUCAGAGAAGGGUCUGAUUGUGACCUGGAGCCCUCAGCUAGAGGUUCUGUCUCACAAGUCUGUUGGUUGCUUCAUGACUCAUUGCGGGUGGAACUCGACGCUUGAAGCGUUGAGCUUAGGAGUGCCGAUGGUGGCAAUGCCACAGUGGACUGAUCAACCAACAAAUGCGAAGUACAUAGAAGAUGUUUGGCGUGUAGGAGUUAGAGUGAAGGCAAAUGAAAAGGGGAUUGUCACCAAGGAAGAGUUAGAAAAGUUUACGAGGGAAGUCAUGGAAGGUGAAAGAGGGAGUGAGAUGAGAAGGAAUUCUGAGAAAUGGAAGAAACUAGCCAAAACAGCCAUGGGUGAAGGUGGAAGCUCUGAUAAGAAUAUUACGGAAUUUGCAGCAAAGAUUGCUAGCAAGUUCAAUGAAACCACAGAUUCAAAAGCGUGAAAGCUAUGCAUGGCCUUAAAACUUGGAAAAAUGCUUCUUCUCCAUCAAUUUAUUUUACAAGAUUCGAUGAUAGUUGUCAUAUGAAGUAUGAACUAUAAAAUACAAGAUCCAAAUCAUGUUUUCAUGAUGAAAGAAAUAAUAUCAUGUUACUCCAUUUCAAUCUCUUUUCUUCUUCUUAUUUUUUAGAAAAAAAUCAAUUAUAAACAAAAAUAAACGGUUAAGAUUCACACUUUGAUAUAUUACACAUAAGAUUUUUAUUAACAUGUGUGAGAAUAUUGUUCUGUCAAUUAUUCAUUAUGAUUUAGAAAGACAAGUCACAAGCCAACACACAUUUCCAAACAAGCAUUAAAGAUUGAACAAUGAUGGAAAAAAUAAGUCAAAAAAAUCAAAAACCAAGUUCCCAUGGGCAAAAUUCGACCACAAUUUUGUGGUGAGGAGGAAUUGGAUGGAAAUUCAACAACGUUCAAAUUUCAAGGGUGCCGAACCCAUACAUUUUUUGCUUCACCUAUUUUUGAGUCAAAACAAUAGUUUCACGAGUGGUUAUGAGUUAGACGAGUUAUUACAUAUAUUAUUUAUGGGUUUGGUAUCAUACCGAGUUCAAGUAAGUAGAGUCCCAUGAGUAUUAGAUGUAGCGCCUGUUCGAGAAUAUAUUUACAGUUGAUUUUUAAAGUAUUUUUUACGAUGAAAUAUAUUAAAAUAAUAUUUUUUUAUUUUUUAAAAAUUAUUUUUAAGAUAAACGCACUAAAACGUUUUAAAAUAUAUAAAAAAUUAAUAAUUUUUACAUGAUUUAUACCGCAUUUUUAAACAAUGUCUUAGUUUUCUUAAACUUGGCUAAACGCCAAGCCUUUAUUAAUUAUGGAUCCAGGGAACUGUCAGAUUUAUUAUUCGUAAACUUGAUUGCACAUUUAAACAUGGAUAUGGCGACCUUCUCAAACUGGGCUUGGCUUCAAAUUUCAUUCGAACGGCUGAGAAGCUGAAACAUGAAAAACAACAUUUUGUUGUUGAGUAGCAUCCUGUCGAUCAAUUUUCCCGCAAGAUUAUUAGGCGUAAGAGGCAUCAUCAUCGUGGCAGAGUAGAUACGUGCACCCAUAAUAUAAGCUUGAUGAAUUUUGUCUUCAAUCAUGUAUUUACUGUCUUGGGAAAUUUUCAUAUCUUUGAAGAUUUUGAUAUCUUAGCAAAUAUAUUUGUUAGCAACAACAAAUUGCUAAUGUAAGCAAAAAAAAAGAAACUUUAACAUGUAAAAUAUAAAUUUUACAUCGAAUCAAUGUGAAAAUAUAAUUAUUUGUGAGCAUGGAUUUAUUGAUUAUCAAUGUGAAAAUAUAAAUCUCGCUAACGUAAAAAAAAAGAAUUAAUAUGCAAAAUAUAAGUUAGUCAACAAAAACAAUCCAAUAAAUGAUUGACACACGUCAAUUCAAAAUUUAAAAAUAAAAAAUAAUCUUAAAUAAAAAAAAGGAUGAAAAUCAAUUUUUUUAAUGAAAUAAAAAAAAAUAUUGUUAUCCAUAAAUAUAAUUACCCUUGCGUGAGCACAUGCCCUUUAUGGGGUAUCAGAUUCAGGAAUACAGGGCUUGAAAGCAUUGUAUGAACAGUUUUUGUUCGCCAUUAUCCAAGGAUGGGCCUUUUUCUGUUAUUUCUUUGAAAAUACAGUUUAAUUUUUUAACUUUAUUUUAUUUAUUUAAAUAUACACACCUUGGAAAAUGACCCUCGCCCAUUUUUAAAACAACCCAGAAUCCAAGAAUUAAUCAAAAUCACCAAAAGAUCAUUCACUCUCUUGUAUGGGUCAUAGUUAUAGAACCGAAUUCUCUUGGUGAGUUGACUUAGGAUUUAAUAUCUAGACUUAUCCGAGCCAAAGAAAAAACUAAGAGAGAAAUCGAUUCGAUCUAAUCUGAUUAAAAACUCAAGUUGAUCUGUGACCCGAUCAAUCUUGAUAAAACCUAACAAAAAAUAUGUUAGAGUUUUUUUUAUAUAUAAAAAAAAACAUUGUCACAUAGAUCCUUUAAAAAAAUAUUAGUAAACCCUCCUAAUUUAAUGAACCAAGCCUUAUUUCAAAUCGAUUUCCAGAUCAAAUUUUUAAAACUAUGGCAUGGAUGAUCAACCUCGUAAUUAUGGUUUAUUUGUUUCUACGUUUUAAAAGCGUUUUUAAAAAUUUUAAAUUUUUUUCUUUGUUUCAAAUUAAUAUUUUUGUUUUUUCCGGAUCAUUUUGAUCUACUGUUGUCAAAAAUAAUUUUUAAAAAUAAAAAUAUAUAUUAUUUUAAUGUAUUUCUGAGCAAAAUACACUUUAAAAAAUAAUCAUUAUCAUCCUUUUAAACACCUUUUAAAAAAGAUGAAGAAAAAUAAUUUUGCUUUUUAGUAAGAGAAAUUUUUGUGAACAUGAACCGUCCUUUUCUUAUCAGAGACUCCUGGAAACUGUUAACAUUAGAGCUCCUUUCUUCACCUUCUGAGGGAUAGUUGAUGACUCUACGGAGGACGGUCUUUCAUCUCUCUGAUACAGUGUUUGAAUGGCAUUGGCUAUUGAUGAAUUUCUCGCAUGAAAGAACUUUUGGGCAUUGGCUGUUAGAUUCUGGUGGGUGUUUUGGAUUAGAUCUGAAGUCACAUUCUCUGAAUUAUAUUCAUUGAGGGCAUGACAUGGUCCUAGGUCCCUGGCAUGAGCCUAGUGAUAUGCUUAGUUAGCCUUAAUAAAUUUUAAACUAACAAGGGCACAAUGUAAUAACAUCCAAGUUCUUGAACCGAUUUAGUUUAAAAUUUUUGUUGGCUCUGCCUUAACGUUAAGGCUGAAAGAGAAAUCUGGUUACUGAAUAUAGAAAUCUGGUGUUGUAUCAAUUUUGGAGUGCUUUGAUGCGAAGGUCCGUGCCUAACUCCUCUUCUCUUCCAGAAAUAGAAUUCAUAUGUGUGAGCUAUCCAUCAUCUUUUAUCUGUAUUGAGUCCCUUGUUGCUUAUUGAACGUACAUUUGGGUAAAUGGUAAUCAUACGAGUUUAAUGAUAUAAUUAAUUUAAGAAAGAAGAAGUAUAGCACAGAAGAAGUCUGUGGUCAGUGAUUAUUCAGUACUGUUGUUGCCUAAUUUUUAUCCAUCUUUUUAAUAAAAUUUUCAAAAAAAUCUAAAAAUAGCGAAAAACAACAAAAAUCCAAAAAAUACGUUUUUUAAUAUAUUUGCAUUGUUUUUAUCAUUUUCAGCAUCGUCUCAAAAAAAUUUAAAUUUUUAAAGAUCUUUGGAACGCGUUAUUUUUAAAAUCACCGAUUUUUCUCAUUCGAGUCGAUGUUGAUAAGAAAAAUCUAAACAGAAACGGCUAUGACCCGCAGAUCCAGAUCCACUUCCAACCGAACCCGCCGACUGAACAACCACACCCAUCUCCUCAACAGCAACGGCCGUGACCCGCCACCGCUAGAUAUGCCACCGGAAGGAGAGGGAAAGAACAACAAACCAGGAAAGACUCGAAAGAAGCAGAUCAUGAGAAGGAGAAGAAAAAUAACGGAUCCAUGAAAAAGGAGAAAGAAAUUAAAAUCAACUGGCUUGUGUGUUUUUCUCCUUUUGUAGGUGACAGUGAUCCUCACCGCCGGUGAGGAAAGGAAGAGGAGAAGAAGCCAAUCUCGAUUGCCCUGUUUCCCGGUUCUCGCAGGGGCGAGUGAAUCCACGCGCCGCCAGUGGCAAUGUCGCGUGGAGAAGACGCGCCGCCACUGUUCUUGCAGUUCUAGAAGGCCUUCCCUGCAAUUCCUGGAGUUUUGGGGUUUAUUUUGUAAAUUUAAAAUUGUUUAAUGUACAUUUUGUUUAGUUUUGAAUUUUUAUAAUCUGUAGUGUGCAAAUGUGGAUGUAGAAAAGGAAAACAAAAAAAUAUAUAGUGAAAGUGAAUGUGUUGUUUGUAUUUUUUUAUGAUAAACUUGCAAAGAAUAAAGAAGAAUUUAAUGUUUUGACUUGCUCACGGUAAAAGAUUAUGAACUUACACGUAAGUUGUAUUUCUAAUAUCCGAUGAAAAGACAAAAUUUUUAAAACUUCUUUAUCAUAUCAAAUCACGAAGCAGUUUACCUCAGGUAGGGUGCGCUAGGGGUGCUAAUACCUUUCCUAGCCACAACCAGUCCCUUACCCUUGAAUCUCUGACGAUGACCAGUACAUUUGGGUUUCCUAGUAACCUUCAAUGAAAUACUAGGUGGUGACUCCCAAAUCAUCAAUCAAACAAAUGAAAAUCGCCAACAGACGCCGCGCGGGUCACGUGCGACAAGUACCCUUCUAUUAAAAAUAACUUUGGCAUUUAUAGCCAUACACUUCAUAACAGAACUAACAAACAAACAAAUAAGAAAGAGUUCCAGCACUCUCCACGUCUAACAAUUAACCAACUGAUCCACGUUUUGCAGUUCCCUAAAGUAGUGCAGUCACUACUUGUUCCUGUAGCAUGAUCUCCUGACCACGUUCUUGUGAUAGUGGAUGUAUCAUUCCCGCCCACUUAAGAAUCCUUGUCCACAAGGAUAGAAGAAGGAUAAGUCCUAGUGAAACGCCAUUCAUUCUCCACUGGUUCGAGUUGGCCAUUCAUAGUGUCCUCACUGUAUAUGUUAGGAGAAUCCCAAAUCAUAAAUAAUUGAGGAUGUUGGCAACGAUGUCCUGGAAUAAACUUUUCAUCACAGUAGUAGCAUAAACCCGUCUCUCUUCGCUCUCGUGCCUCUUGAUUAGUAAUUCUGCAAAAAGACGCUGGCGGUGCACUGGGACUGGUAUUUAUCCUUAGACCAUGUGGUGGCCCUAACACUCCAGCCGUGGGGUUGGGUGAUGUCUUUGCUAUCACUGAGGUUGGUACUAGGUUUGGUACAGACUGUAUUGGGAGAGGGCCUCUCUUCUUCAACUGAUUUUUUUCCUCAAUCAAUCUUGCCACUCUAAUGGUAUUUGCCAAGGUAUGGGGUUGCUUAAUUUUAACAUCCAAACGAAUCUCAUCCCGAAGUCCUGCAAUAAAACAACCAAUCAAAAAAUUUCCCGGCAAGCCAUCAACUUGAUGUGAGAGUCUCUCAAAAGUCUCUUGAUAAGCUGCCACCAACGUGUUUUGUUUAAGACGAGUCAAGGCUUCAGACAGGUCCUCAUUGUCGGUUGGACCGAAUCACUGUUGUAUAGCUUUCAUAAACUCAUCCUAUGUUAAUGGUCCGCGAAACUUGGUCAACCACCUAUGCCACUAUAAGGCAAUGCCUCUAAAUGGAAAGAGGCCAGCUGAACCUGUUGGUUUGGCACAAAAUUUUGAAAUUCAAAAUAUUAUUCUACCUUGUAAAUCCAUCCAGUUGGAUCACCUCCAUUAAAUUUAGGAAAUGAUAACUUGAGAUUGUGGUGUUGAUGGUUAUUAAUGGGGUUAGGGUGGGUGGUCUGGUGGUGUGAAGACUCUUCAUUAGCAAAGGUGUAAUGUUAGGAGAACUAGUGUUUAGUUUACGGGUAGUAUGAAGAGCUUGAAGUUCUGUCAAUACCACUUAUAAGGUAGCAUUAAUUUGAUCAAAGCUCGACUCGUGUCUAACUAGGAUUUCAUUGACUUCAUUGCGAAAUUAUGUGUUUCAUUUGCCGCGAGUAUCCAUAGUCUAAACUAAGAAUAACCGGGGGGAACAAGGACCUAUGGGUUAUGGGGAAUCAGGCUCUGAUACCACUGAUAUAAUUAAUUUAAAAAAGAAGAAGCAUAGCAGAGAAGAAGUCUGUGGUUGGGGAUUAUUCAGUACCCUUCUAUUAAAAAUAACUUUGGCAUUUAUAGCCAUACACUUCAUAACAGAAUUAACAAACAAAUAGGAAGGAGUUACAACACUCUCCACGUCUAACAAUUAACUAACUGAUUCACGUUUUACAGUUCCCUAAAAUAGUGCAGUCACUAUUUUUCCUAUAGCAUGAUCUCCUGGCCACGUUAUUGUGAUAGAGGAUAUCAUUUAAGUGCUUCUGGCACCAUGACAGUGUUUGAAAUAUGGAUCAUCUGCUAUUCUUUCCAUUGAAAUACACUAGUGUACAGGUGAAACACAAAAGGAGGCAUGAGCUAACAAAAUUUCAGCAGUGUUGAAGAUAUUAUUAAAUCUAUUGAAGAUAAUACUGAUACUGAAGAUAAACAUGAUCAGGGAUCACUGAUACUGAAGAUAAUCGUGAUCUCUGAUCAUAUCUGCACAAGAGAUUAUCACUGAUACUGAAGAUAAUCAUGAUCAGUGAUUACUGAUACUGAAGAUAAUACUGAUAUUGAAGAUAAUCAUGAUCAGGGAUUGCUAUCAUAAUCAGGGAUCCCUGAUACUGAAGAGAUCAUGAUCAGGGAUCACUGAUACUGAAGAUAAUCAUGAUCUCUGAUCAUAUCUGCACAAGAGAUUACUGAUACUGAAGAUCAUCGUAAUCAUAUCUGCAACAGAUAUUCUAGGAAUUAAGUGUAUAUCUUAUCAUUAAUUGCAUUCUUAAUGAUAGGAUUUUUGAAUCAGGGAUUGUAAUAUAUAUAAGACCAUGAUGUAACAGUAUAUCAAUUAAUAAAGCAAAUAUAUUUCUGUAAUUCUUCUUCCGCACAUCUUUCUCUCUUUAUUCUUUUAUCUUUCAUGGUAUCAGAGCCAUUGACACACGUCACACAAAUGGCUUCCUUUUCACUAAACAGCUCAGAUGUUGCUACUAAUGGCAAUCCCCCACCUGUUUCUCCUCCAGCUAUAAAUGUUACAAAACUCUCAAAAGACAACUAUCAUAUCUGGAAAGCUCAAUUAAUUCCUUUCUUCCGUGGGCAAGGUCUCUUUGGAUGCCUUGAUGGAACCCUUCCCGUCCCACCCAAAGAAGUUUCCAUAGCUGAAACCUCCUCUGCCAUCUCCAACCCUCUCUAUGAACAUUGGUAGCGACAAGAUGCCAUCAUAGUUGCUAUUCUCUUCUCUAUAAUUUCAGAAAACGUUCUUAUUCAAGUGGUCUCUCAUACCACCUCUGCUGCAAUCUGAUGUGCUCUAGCCAAAUCCUUCUCCUCUCAAUCACGUGCUCGGGUUAUUCAACUCCGCACUGAACUCGUCAACACUCGUAAAGGUGCACAAUCAGCUCAUGAUUUUUUUAUGUAGGUCAAACGCAUGACAGAUGAACUUGUUGUUGCCGGCCAUGCUCUUCACUGUGAUGAAAUCAUCUCCUAUCUCUUAUCGGGUCUUGGCCAUGAUUAUGACUCCUUUGUUAUUACCAUCACAACCCGCACAGAUCCUGUCACCUUAAAGGAAGUAUAUGCUCUCUUACUCACCACAGAGUCACGUCUGCAGCACCACAAUUCACCCAUUGUCCAGCCCACUGUUCAUGUUGCUACUCGUCAGUCCUCUUCUUCUUCCUAUAGAGGGCGAAAUUCAUAUAGAGGUAGAGGCUGGAAUUACAAAGAAGUCUUUUUCUAUAAUGGUUCCAAUGGCAGGAACACAUUUCAUAGAGAUACUAUGAUAUGUCAGGUCUGUGAUAAACCUGGCCAUUCUGCAAAAAAAUGCUAUCAUCGGUUUGACGUUACCUAUCGUGACAAUGCUGCAAAAUCCAGCAAUCUGCAAGGUCUGAUGGCUAUAACAAGUUCUGUUUCUGCAACUGAUUGGCAUCCUGAUACAGGUGCUACACAUCAUCUCACCAAUAAUAUGGCCAACUUAAAUCUACGGAGUGAAGACUAUACUGGUUCAGAUCAAAUCCUUGUUGGCAAUGGUGCAGGUUUGCAAAUUUCUCAAAUUGGUUCCUCUAUUUUAACUCCCUCAAAAACACCGUUUGUGCUCAAACAAUUACUUCUUGUCCCUGAAAUUCAAAAAAAUCUAAUUUAUGUUCAACAAUUUUGCAGUGAUAAUCUUGUGUUUUUUUAAUUUCAUGAUCGUUUUUUUUCUCAUUAAGGACUACUCGAGGAAAAUCCUUCAUUGCGGCACCUUUAAAGAUGGUCUGUAUUCAUUCUCCAGCCUGUCAGACACACUCCCUCCUCAUGCACUCACUGUUGUACGAGCUUCUUACCAAAUAUGGCACAACAAGCUUGGUCAUGCAUCCUUUCCAGUUCUUCAAAAAUCUAUUUCAGCAUUUACAUUACCUGUUGCAAAUAAAAGGCUUCCAGUUUGUUCCGAUUGUCUACUAGCUAGAAGCAGUCAAUUGUCUUUCAAAACCAGCAAUCACAAAUCUAUUAAUCCUUUAGACAUAGUGCAUACUGAUGUUUGGGGACCAGCACCCAUCUUGUCAACCAGUGGUGCUCGAUACUAUUUAUGUUUUUUAGACAAUUGCACUAAAUUCAUAUGGUUGUUUCCUCUUAAACUCAAAUUUGAUGUUGAGAAAGUCUUUCUGCUCUUUAAAACUUCAGUUGAACGACAAUUUAAUCGUACCAUAAAAAAAUUCAAUCUGAUUGGGGAGGCGAAUAUCGCCGCAUGUCUACACUUUUAACUCAAAUUAGCAUUCAUCAUCGUAGAGCAUGCCCAUACACUCAUUAGCAAAUGGGUGCAGUUGAACGUCGUCAUAAACAAAUUGUUAAGGUCGGUCUUUCCUCACUCUCACAUUCUAAAAUUCCACAACAAUUUUGGGAAGAUGUUUUUCUCACGGCCACUUAUAUUAUCAAUCGUCUCCCUACUCCUAUUCUUAAUAAAAAAAUCUCCAUACAAAAUUGUUUAUCGUCAUACUCCUGACUAUCAUUUCCUUAAAGUUUUUGGUCGUGCAUGCUGGCCUUAUCUUCAACCAUAUAAAAAACACAAAAUCGAUUUCAGAUCUAAAAACUGUAUUUUUAUUGGUUAUAGCUUGGACCAUCAUGUAUAUAAAUACCUUGAUCUUGCAACAGGUAAAGUUUAUGUAUCUCGUCAUGUCGUUUUUGAUGAAAACCAUUUUCCAUAUAAAAGUCCUGAUCACCAAUCUUCUAUCUGUCUAGACACACCCUCCAUCGUAGUUCCAUUUUCAAAUACUAUUUCUUCCUUGUCACUAACACUUGUAGGUACAUGUGCAACUUCACCAUCGCCACACAUUGACUCUCCUCUGCCAGCAUCAUCUCCAACUUCAGAGUCGGCACCUCAAUCCCCAGCAGACAUUACCCCUGCCUCCCCUCCCAUACCAGUUCCACAUCCCACAGACACAAUCCCAACAAUUUCAAAUAAUCACCCGAUGGUUACAAGAUCAAAAAAUCACAUUUCCAAACAAAAAAAAACCCCUGAUGGACACAGCUUAUAUCCCCUACCCCGAGCACUGCAGGUUUCUGCCUUUCCCUCCUGCAAGGAACCAACCUCAUUUACUGAAGCCGCCAAAUCUUGUCAUUGGCGAUCUAUAAUGAAUUCUGAAUUUGAUGCCUUGCUCCGCAAUCAAACCUAGUAACUGGUCCCUCCAUCACGCCAUCUUAAUGUCAUUGGCUAUCGUUGGAUUUUCAAGACUAAAGGAAAGCUGAUGGCUCCAUUGAAAGAUAUAAGGCCCGACUGGUAGCUAAAGGUUAUCAUUAGCAGCUAGGGGUGGAUUUUCAUGAAACUUACAGUCCAGUUGUAAAACUUGCAACUAUCCAGCUUGUUUUAUCCAUUACAGUCUGCAACAAUUGGACAGUUUGUCAACUGGAUGUCCAAAAUGCAUUUCUUCACAACAAUCUGUUAGAAGUGGUUUAUACCAGGCUUCAAACAUCCUCAGUUUCUUGAUCAUCUCUGUAAGCUCAAACUCUCUUUAUAUGGCCUUAAACAAGCGCCUCGCCAGUGGUUUUCAUGCCUUGCUGCUGUGUUGAUACAGUUCGGUUUUGUUGCCAGCAAGGCAGACUUGCCACUCUUUAUGCACACCGACACCUCUAGCAUCAUCUUCAUCCUCAUUUAUGUUGAUGACAUUAUCAUCACUGGUUCUAAUGAUGUCAUUGUCACAGAUAUCAUUCAGCGGCUGUAUAAGGAAUUUGUUAUCACUAACCUUGGUCCUCUCAGUUUUUUCUUAGGCAUUGAAGCCAUACGUGAUGCUACAGGUCUCUAUCUCACUCAACGCAGAUACAUUGCCGAUCUUCUUACAAAAUCCAAAAUGGAUGGUGCUAAGCCGUGUUUCACUCCAAUGUCCACCACUGUGGCAUUGACAGCAACUGAUACCGAAGCAUUUGAUGAUCCUACCCUGUACAGAAGCAUUGUUGGUGGCCUUCAUUAUCUCUCAUUCACUUGGCCUGAUAUUGCUUUCGCCGUUCAUCGUGUUAGCAAAUUCAUGCAUCAACCGAAACAGUCCCACUGGAUGUGUAAAGAGAAUCCCGCGCUAUCUCAAACACUCCAUCUCCUACUGUUUACUAUUGUCUUGCAGCAGCUCCUUCACAUUUCAGGCGUUCUCUGAUGCAGAUUGGCAGGGGACACAGAUGAUCGUCGCUUUGUUGGUGCCUACUGUGUGUUUCUUGGCUCAAAUUUAAUUUCCUGGCGUAGCAAACAAUAGGCUAAAGUUGCUCGUAGCAAUAUCGAGGCUGAAUACAAGGCUCUCGCAGACACUGCAGCUGAACUCCAAUGGUUACAAUUUUUAGCUGCAAAACUUGGUUUGCACCUAUCUCAAAGUCCCACUCUUUGGUGUGAUAAUAUUGGUGCCACGUAUCUAUCCUCCAAUCCAGUGUUUCAUGCACGCACAGAGCACAUCAAGAUUGAUUUUCACUUUGUCAGAGAUCUUGUUUCUCAAAAGAAAUUGACUGUCAAUUUUCUGUCUAGUCGUGAUUAGCUAGCCGAUCUCCUACAAAACCACUCUUUGCUGCUCAGUUCAAUAUUCUGUGCUCCAAUCUCAACGUUUGUAACCUCCCGUUCAAAUUGCAGGGGCAUGUUGAAGAUAUUAUCAAAUCUACUGAAGAUAAUACUGAUACUGAAGAUAAACAUGAUCAGGGAUUACUAUCAGGAUCAGGGAUCACUGAUACUGAAGAUAAUUGCGAUCUCUGAUCAUAUCUGCACAAGAGAUUAUCACUGAUACUGAAGAUAAUCAUGAUCAGUGAUUACUGAUACUGAAGAUAAUAUCAUAUCUACUGAAGACAAUACUGAUACUGAAGAUAAUCAUGAUCAAGGAUUGCUAUCAUAAUCAGGGAUCCCUGAUACUGAAGAGAUCAUGAUCAGGGAUCACUGAUACUGAAGAUAAUCAUGAUCUCUGAUCAUAUCUGCACAAGAGAUUACUGAUACUGAAAAUCAUCGUAAUCAUAUCUGCAACAGAAAUUCUAGGAAUUAAGUGUAUAUCUUAUCAUUAAUUGCAUUUUUAAUGAUAGGAUUUUUGAAUCAGGGAUUGUAAUAUAUAUAAGACCAUGAUGUAACAGUAUAUCAAUUAAUAAAGCAAAUAUAUUUCUGUAAUACUUCUUCCGCACAUCUUUCUCUCUUUAUUCUUUUAUCUUUCAAGCAGUAAAUAGAAAACCCUCCUUAACAUGCAGCAUAAUAAAUAAUAACCGAGAGUUCUGUGAUGUUGCAGGCUUUUCAGCAGUUCACUGGUAUCAACACAGUCAUGUACUAUAGCCCCAACCAUUGUGCAGAUGGCUGGUUUUAGUUCCAACCAGCUAGCACUUCUCCUGUCCCUUGUUAUUGCUGCCAUGAAUGCCGCUGGAACAGUUCUUGGCAUUUACCUUAUUGAUCAUUUCGGGAGGAAAAGGUUGGCCAUCUCAAGCUUAGCUGGUGUAAUUGCAUCACUUUUCAUUCUUGCUGGAGCAUUUUUUGGCAAGUCAUCUGGUUCUUCAAAUGAACUCUAUGGGUGGAUUGCAGUUUUGGGGUUAGCCCUGUGUAUUGCUUGCUUCUCACCAGGAAUGGGACCUGUUCCAUGGACUGUGAACUCAGAGAUAUAUCCCGAACAAUAUCGAGGAAUAUGCGGGGGCAUGUCAGCUACUGUUAACUGGAUCUCCAAUCUGAUAGUAGCCCAAACUUUCCUUUCAAUUGCCGAAGCAGUAGGAACAGGUUCGACUUUCUUGAUGCUUGCGGGCACAGCAGUGCUCGCAGUUGUGUUUGU
rnacentral:lncRNA from 1 species